rnacentral:rRNA from 1 species
UACGUAGGGUGCGAGCGUUGUCCGGAAUUAUUGGGCGUGAAGGGCUCGUAGGCGGUUUGUCACGUCGGGAGUGAAAACUCGGGGCUCAACCCCGAGCCUGCUUCCGAUACGGGCAGACUAGAGGUAUGCAGGGGAGAAUGGAAUUCCUGGUGUAGCGGUGAAAUGCGCAGAUAUCAGGAGGAACACCGGUGGCGAAGGCGGUUCUCUGGGCAUUACCUGACGCUGAGGAGCGAAAGUGUGGGGAGCGAACAGG